AUUGAACGCUGGCGGCAUGCUUUACACAUGCAAGUCGAACGGUAACAGGCCGCAAGGUGCUGACGAGUGGCGAACGGGUGAGUAAUGCAUCGGAACGUGCCCAGUCGUGGGGGAUAACGCAGCGAAAGCUGCGCUAAUGCCGCAUACGAUCUCUGGAUGAAAGCGGGGGACCGAAAGGCCUCGCGCGAUUGGAGCGGCCGAUGUCAGAUUAGGUAGUUGGUGGGGUAAAGGCCCACCAAGCCAACGAUCUGUAGCUGGUCUGAGAGGACGACCAGCCACACUGGGACUGAAGCACGGCACAGACUCCGACGGGAGGCAGCAGGGGGGAAUUUUGGACAAUGGGCGCAAGCCUGAUCCAGCAAUGCCGCGUGCAGGAAGAAGGCCUUCGGGUUGUAAACUGCUUUUGUACGGAACGAAACGGUCCGGGUUAAUACCCUGGGCUAAUGACGGUACCGUAAGAAUAAGCACCGGCUAACUACGUGCCAGCAGCCGCCGUAA
rnacentral:rRNA from 1 species